AUACGGAGGAUCCGAGCGUUAUCCGGAUUUAUUGGGUUUAAAGGGUGCGCAGGCGGCCAUUUAAGUCAGCGGUUAAAUCGUGGGGCUCAACCCCAUUCUGCCGUUGAUACUGGGUGGCUUGAUUGCGGUCGAGGUUGGCAGAAUUCGUUGUGUAGCGGUGAAAUGCAUAGAUAUGACGAAGAACACCGAUUGCGUAGGCAGCUGACCAGACCGCAAAUGACGCUCAUGCACGAAAGUGCGGGGAUCGAACAGGAUUAGAUACCCUGGUAGUCCGCACAGUAAACGAUGAAUACUUGUUUUCGGCGAUAUAAUGUCGGAGGCAAAGCGAAAGCGAUAAGUAUUCCACCUGGGGAGUACGCCGGCAACGGUGAAACUCAAAGGAAUUGACGGGG
rnacentral:rRNA from 1 species